rnacentral:rRNA from 1 species
GAUGAACGCUGGCGGCGUGCCUAAUACAUGCAAGUCGAGCGAACUGAUUAGAAGCUUACUUCUAUGACGUUAGCGGCGGACGGGUGAGUAACACGUGGGCAACCUGCCUGUAAGACUGGGAUAACUUCGGGAAACCGAAGCUAAUACCGGAUAGGAUCUUCUCCUUCAUGGGAGAUGAUUGAAAGAUGGUUUCGGCUAUCACUUACAGAUGGGCCCGCGGUGCAUUAGCUAGUUGGUGAGGUAACGGCUCACCAAGGCAACGAUGCAUAGCCGACCUGAGAGGGUGAUCGGCCACACUGGGACUGAGACACGGCCCAGACUCCUACGGGAGGCAGCAGUAGGGAAUCUUCCGCAAUGGACGAAAGUCUGACGGAGCAACGCCGCGUGAGUGAUGAAGGCUUUCGGGUCGUAAAACUCUGUUGUUAGGGAAGAACAAGUACGAGAGUAACUGCUCGUACCUUGACGGUACCUAACCAGAAAGCCACGGCUAACUACGUGCCAGCCGCCGCAGUAACAC